rnacentral:rRNA from 1 species
UACGGAGGGUGCAAGCGUUGUCCGGAAUCACUGGGCGUAAAGGGUGCGUAGGCGGCCGUGCAAGUCUGGCGUGAAAGCCCCGGGCUCAGCCCGGGAAGUGCGCUCGAAACUGCGCGGCUCGAGUGCCGGAGGGGAGAGUGGAAUUCCUGGUGUAGCGGUGAAAUGCGUAGAUAUCAGGAGGAAUACCGGUGGCGAAAGCGACUCUCUGGACGGCAACUGACGCUAAGGCACGAAAGCGUGGGGAGCAAACAGG